rnacentral:rRNA from 1 species
AUGAGGUUUGCAAGAAAUCCCAAUAACUCAAUGUUUGCACAGCCGAUGGUAUAUGUGCAGUCCAUUUCUGUCACUGAUGUUGCCGGAUGCAGUAGCGGGGGCAGUGACGUCGAGUUGGCCAUCACAUCAGCCCCUAGCGCCGGCCCAUCGGAACCGCCAGUCGGCCAGUCAGUGUAUGACACAGGAUAUUGGUUUGCAACCGUUGACAUGAGAGAACAAGUGGAGGGAUUGCCUAAGGCGCUAGAUGAUGACCAUGAUGGUCAUUCGUGUGCGUCUUGGACUCAAGCGAAGAAGAAGUUGUUUGUUCCUCAGAGGGCGGUCGCGGGCAGCACUACAACCUGGGUUUUUACAGGAUAUGAGCAUCACCAAUGA